rnacentral:rRNA from 1 species
UACAGAGGGGGCAAGCGUUGUUCGGAAUUACUGGGCGUAAAGGGCGCGUAGGCGGCCUGCUAAGUCGAACGUGAAAUCCCUGGGCUCAACCCAGGAACUGCGUCCGAUACUGGUUGGCUUGAAUCCGGGAGAGGGACGUGGAAUUCCAGGUGUGGCGGUGAAAUGCGUAGAUAUCUGGAGGAACACCGGUGGCGAAGGCGACGUCCUGGACCGGCAUUGACGCUGAGGCGCGAAAGCCAGGGGAGCAAACGGG